CUUCCCUCUCCCUCCCUAAGUUUUUCACUCAAAAUCUCAACGUAGAAGAAGAAGAAUUUUCCACAUAAGGAAUCCAAGUCAGACCGAUUUCAAUUUCAACAAGCUCGCUCCUCCCCUACUCAUUGCUAGCUGUGCAGGCGCGCUUGAUUUGAUAGGAAAUGGAAGAGACUUCGAGUGGCGAUCCAAGUUUGGAGAUUGUUGCUAGUCAAGAAAAUGAUGGAAAUGAAGCUAUAAUUGAUGAGAAUGACUCAACUAAGAAGAAUGAAGAGGCUGAAACAGACAAUGUGGGGAAUGAAGAAGUGGAGGAACCGAAAGUUGGGAUGCUUUUUGGUACUGCGGAUGAAGUGCUUGAGUAUUAUGAAAACUAUGCUAAGCAAUUAGGAUUCCCUGUGAAAAAGAGAUCGUCUACAAAGGAUGAUGAUGGGGUUUUGAGAUAUGUAACUCUUGCAUGUGCUCGAUCAGGAACAUCAAGAAGUAAUUCAGCAAGUAAGGGUUUGAGACCGCCUCAAAGUAUUAAAACUAAUUGCAAGGCUCUUCUUAGUGCAUGUAUUUGUCUUGAUGGAAGGUGAGAGUUAGUAGUGUUAGGCUUGUACACAACCAUGAGUUGAGUCCAGAUAAAGUUUGUUUUUUCCGAUGUAAGCGGGUAUUAAACGCACAUGGAAAAAGGAAGCUUGAUUUAAAUGAUAAAGUUGGUGUCAAAAAAGAUAAGAAUAGUAGUUCAUUGGUUGAAGUUGGAGGAAGUGAGAAUACCUCAAUAUUGGGUAAAGAUGGUAGAAACUAUUCUGAGAAAGCGAGCCAGUUACAACUAGAGGAAGGGGAUGCUACCUUAAUUCUAGAUUAUUUGAUGAAAAUGAAAUCUCAGGAUGCAAAUUUCUUUUAUGCAAUUGAUUUGGAUAAGCAGGGUAGGCUUCGGAAUGUGUUUUGGGCAGAUGCCAGGAGUAGAUCAUCGUAUGAGGAAUUUGGUGAUGUUAUCAAGUUUGACACUACCUAUUUGGCGAAUAGAUAUGUCAUCCCUUUUACUCCAUUUGUGGGGGUCAAUCAUCACGGGCAACCUAUUUUGUUUGGAUGUGCAUUGGUUUCAAGUGAAGAUACCGAAACAUUUAUAUGGCUGUUUCAAACUUGGCUUGCAUGUAUGUCUGGGCGUGCUCCAAGUGGGAUAAUAACUAUUCUGGACAGAGCUAUGGAAACAGCUAUUGAAAAUGUCUUUCCUAAUAUUAGACAUCGUUGGUGCUUGUUGCAUAUAAUGAAAAUUCUGCCUGUAAAGCUGAAAGAAUACAGUGAUUCUGAAUCCAUUAUGUUAGCCCUGAAAUGUGUUGUGUAUGAUUCAGUGUCUCAGUCCGAGUUUGAAGAACAGUGGAAUAUAAUGAUUGAGAAUUACAAGUUACAUAAUGAUGAUUUUUUAACUGGGUUAUAUAAUGAGAGAUGCCGUUGGGUGCCAGUUUUUGUGAAAGAAAACUUUUGGGGUGGAAUUUCUCCUAUUUAUCGUAACGAGAGUAUGCGUUCAUUCUUCGAUGAUCACGUCAAAUCUAAGACUUCCUUUAAACAGUUCGUGAAAAGGUAUGAAGAUGCAUUGAGAAGUAAUGUCGAAAAGGAAAUUCAUGAGGAUUUUAAGUGUUUUUCUUCAAGUGUCAACUGUGUAACGCACUAUGACAUGGAGAAACAAGCUCAAGCAGUUUAUACAAUUUCAAAAUUUAAAUAGUUCCAGAAUGAAGUAACGGGUAAAAUGUACUGCGACUUGGCAACUUUUGAAGUCGAUGGUACGAGUUUAGAGUAUCAAAUAUCCGAGGAUAUAAUGAUUGGCGAGACGAAAAAAAGUGUAACUUUCAAGGUUAGGUUCCAGGAGCAUGACAAUGAAAUUGUGUGCAGUUGUUCUAAGUUUGAGUUCACGGGAAUAUUAUGCAGACACGCAAUUUAUGUCCUUAUUCGUCACAAGGUCCACUUAUUUCCCAAUAAAUACAUCAUGCAGAGAUGGAGGAAAGAUAUGAAGAGAUGUCACACAAAGGUAAAACUAAAAUACAGUGAUUGGGAUACGACUCCUGAAGCUCAACGAUGUGAUAAGAUGGAAAAGAGCUUUAAUGAGAUAAAGGAAAUGGCAAAUGAUUCUGAAGAUAAGUGUGUGAUUGUGAUGUCUUGGAUGAAUAAGCUAAAGGAAGAACUAAUCAACCAUGACUAUAAAAGUAUUCGGGUAACUCCAAAACUGCCCAUUCCAAGGAUCUUAGGCAAUAAUGUCAAGAGCAUCCCAAAAGAGGGUCAGAGUAUGCUCUCCCCAAACUACUUGUAUGGAUCGAAUGGGACUGGAAAUGUAGCUCUCCCUAUCCCUAUUUUAUACGACAAUCGUUUUCAGGGCCAUCACCAUCAAGCUUGGAAUGGGGUUUAUAGUAUGUUCAGUUUGCCUAGUUCUAAUUUGCAAGGACUUGGUAACCAAAAGCCUGAUUGAGACAUUGGAUCAGUGGAUGGAGAAGUUUACACUACGUCAAAGCUUGAAGUAAAUGUAUUGAGACGUGGUUAAGGUGAAUAAUGCAACUUUCAUAUUAUCAUAUAUAUCUGAAGACUUUAUGAUCGAGUAGAAAACAGAGAGUGUAAAUAUCGGGGUUCCAUUCCAUGAAACUAACAAGCAAAUUAAGUGCAGUUAUUGUAUUUUGGAGACUUUUAGUAUAUAUUUAGGGGUGUGAAUUAUGUCAUCAAGAUUUCGUUAGAUCCAUUCUAUUUCAGACUAGUACAUCAUGAGAAGAUGGAGGAAGGAUGAGAAGAGAACCCGCAUGAAGGUUAGAGUCGGCGUUGAUUGGAUACCACUCUUGAAGCAAAUAGAUGUGAUAGGUCAUAGAAUGCAGAAGACAUUUGAUGAUAUUAAGAACUGCCACAGUUGGGACAGCAUCUUGGGUCUAUAUGGGGCCAUCUAGUAUUUUCCCAUUCAUCAUUCCGUUUUCAACACGGAUUUGUGCUUGCUUAGAGUGUGAGACUUGUGUUAUGGUAGGAACAGGUUGGUCUUCCUUCCGACCCUAAAAAAUGAGCUCAGGGUAGGUCGAUCAAGAUUCAUACUGCUGACUUCCUCUCUUCCCAGAUCAAGUAGCUAAAUAGCCUUCGCUUCAGCAACCAUGUCAACUAACAGCACCACAAUCUACAGGAACAUUAGCUUUACCUUCUUCCAUAACCGUGAUUCGAUCUAAACGAUGUUCAAAAGAAAAGAAAGGGGAUUUCAAUUGGCUCGGAUGAGUUGACGAAGAUGCUUGUGAACGUCUCAUAAUUUGAUUCAGUUGCUGAGUCACGGCUUUGAGUUCAUACGAGUCGUAAAGUGUACUUCCUCCAUUCGAAGGACUUGGUUUCAAAAUUGGGGUAGUACUCUUGGCUUGAAAAUUUAGAUAGUAAGAUGUUGGAGUCAUGACUAGUUGUUUCUCUUCUGUUGAAAUACUCAUGUUGAAUCUCUGAAUUCUAGGUAUCGAAGUCUUUUCCAUGGUGGAUUUGAUCCGUCGAAGCAGUAUCACAGAUAAAUAGGAUUCAGCACAUACCUCUUUGUAUUCAUGAAACUUUUUUAGUAAGUAACGCAACUGAGUUGAUAAUUUUCUAUGUAAAGAACAAGAAAUAACUUAGUAUUCUACGUCUCUAACACAUGGAGGCAUGUGUUAUAUUAAAAAUCUCUCAAGCU